UUUAGCCCUUCUUCUUCUUCUUCAAAUUCGUUUGGCCUUCUUCUUCUUGGUCUUGGUGGCUACUGCCGUAGAAAGGGAAGGGAAGACUGGAGCUUCUGGUGAGCUUUAGUUCCAGGAGCUUCAAUACUUCUCACCAAAGAGUUUCAGAACAGUGAUCAACCAUGCUUGAAAGAUGACAUCGACGAAGAAGCUGCAAAGUUCAAUUGUUCCGCUGACAGCUCAGAGUGAAGAGUCCCAGUCGUUGCUACUGUCGUAGUAAUCAAAAAUUGUUAGUGAAACCACCGAGAAAAGGUUCCUAGCAUGAUUGGUUAGAGAUACAGAGAAUCAUUGCUACGGAAUUGUGAAUAGUGCUUGUAACAGUCGACUUCCCCACUAAUUUGUGCUGAUCGGUUUCGUCUGUGUGUAGAGGCUUUUCCAUUGGUUUGUGUUGGCUAAAAACCUCUAUUAUUUUUCUUUGCUGUUCUACAACAACCAUUGGCCACUUCACCGGUGCAGGACCUUGUAGUGCUGCCUUGCCCCGUCCUUUCCCAGGUGUCGUUGAAGAUCGGCGUGGUUAUUGUUGCCGAUCACAAGGGUUGUUGUCAGAGAAAGCCUGGAAAGGUUCUAGCCACGCCGUCUGGUCACCUUCGAUCCAACUACAGUCGCUAUCACAGAAGUUCAGUUUGUGAAGAAAUGUGGGGGAGACCAACGGGCUAAUGGCCUAGCGGUAUCAGCUUCUUACCUCCCACAGGAAGGUGAAUGGUUCAAGUCUCAGAAAAGACAAGUGGAAGAUAAAAAAGGACAAUUGGUUAUAUGGGUAAAAUGGAAAUGAUAGUACUAAUUUAUGUCAGAUUUUUUAUUGAGGGUUUAUUUUCUCACAAUGUGAAAAAAAAAUAGAGGGGUUUUUUGCACAUUUUUCUAAAUAAGGGGUUCAAAUGUUAUACAAAGUAUAAUUUAGGAGUGUUUUUCGUAUUUUGCCUAAUAAAUUAUUAUUUUAUACUUA